CCUCCACCCUCCCCGCACAGGAGGGUGGACCGGGGAACCGGCGCUCUCUGCCCUGACUGCGCCGGGGCCCCACCCGCGGCCGCGGGACCGCACACCCGCCGGCCGCUGCUACUCCGGGCUGCGGUGCCGGACGGGUUGAGGGUCCCGUCGCGGCGC
rnacentral:ncRNA from 1 species